GUCUAGAGAGUGUUUAGUGAGGCAGGUCUAGAGAGUGUUUAGUGAGGCAGGUCUAGAGAGUGUUUAGUGAGGCAGGUCUAGAGAGUGUUUAGUGAGGCAGGUCUAGAGAGUGUCUAGUGAGGCAGGUGUAGAGAGUGUCUAGUGAGGCAGGUCUGUACAUGAUCAUGACAUGCUGAGGUGUGUUUGUAUUUUGUGGAAGGGAAAUCUGAUAGGUGGAGCCACUCAUUGAAUCCCUUUGACAUUCCUGCCCAUCUGAAAGAAUGGCGUUAUUGUUAAAGAGUUUAGUUUGGUGUUCAGCCUAACUCGACAUAAAUCAAUCAAUCAAUCAGUCAAUCUUAUGUAUUUAUAAAGCCCUUUUUACAUCAGCAGAUGUCACAAAGUGCUGUACAGAAACCCAGCCUAAAACCCCAAACAGCAAGCAAUGCAGAUGUAGAAGCACGAUGGCUAGGAAAAACUGCCUAGAAAGGCCGGAGCCUAGGAAGAAACCUAGAGAGGAACCAGGAUCUGAGGUGUAGCCAGUCUUCUGGCUGUGCCGUGUGGAGAUUAUAACACUACAUGGUCAUUAAGGCCAGAUUGCUCUUCAAGUUCUUCACGCGUUCAUAGAUGACCAGCAGGUCAAAUAAUAAUCACAGUGGUUAUAGAGGGUGCAACAGGUAAGCACCUCAGGAGUAAAUGUCACUUGGAUUUUCAUAACCGAGCAUUCGGAGGUCGAGACAACAGGUGUGGUAGAGAGAGAGAGAGAGAGAGAGGGGGGAGGGAGAGGGAGAGGGAGAGAUGGUAUAAAAGCUCCAUCUGAAUCACUGCAAGAAUGCUAGGACGUGGCCACCAUUUUGUUUUUGACUGAAACACACACACACACACACACACACACACACACACACACACACACACACACACACACAGCUAUGUUUUACUAUACUUGUGAGUACUUUUUGGGACCAACAAUUGAUUACCAUUCAAAAUCCUAUUUUCCUUAACCACUAAUCCUAAACCUAACCCUAAAUCUAACCCUUACCCUAAACCUAAUUCCCUGCCCUAACCCUACCUCCUAAACCUAACCACUAACCCCAAUUCUAACCAUAAACUUAACCCCUAAGACUUAAAUAGCUUUUUUACCAGUGAGGACUGGCAAAAUGGACCACAAGUGUAGUUAAACAUGUGCACACACACACACACAUACAGACACACACAGUUUUGUAUUGCUAUCCUUGUGGGGACCAAAAAAUGUGUUCCCAUCCAAAAUCUUAUUUUCCCUAACCCUAACCCUGACCCUUAACCUAACCAUAACCCUAACCUUAACCCCAAACCCCAAACACCUAACCCUAAAACUAUACCUAACCCUAACUCCUAAACCUAAACCUAAUCGUAACUCCGAAACCUAAACCUAACCCUAACUCCUAAACCUAAACCUAACCCUAACUCCUAAACCUAACCGUAACUCCUAUACCUAAACCUAAUCAUAACUCCUAAACCUAAACAUAAAUGUAACUCCUAAACCUAAUCAUAACUCCUAAACACCUAAUCGUAACUCCUAAA
rnacentral:lncRNA from 1 species